GGCGGCCGCCCCCACCCCGCCGCCGUCCUCGCCCACGGCGGCCGCACCACCCGGCCGCCGACCUCGCCCACGUCGGCCGCACCACCCCGCCGUUGACCUCACCCCCGGCCGACGCCUUCCUCCACAUCCUUCUGACCCCAAGGCUGAGGUCGUUCCCGUCUAUCUCCCCUGUGUGUGCGCGUACAUCGUCGGCAAGCGUGAGGAGGGGUUGCCGCAGUUGCUUCUUCGCCUUCUCCCAUCUCACGUCCCCAUCGCCGGACGCCUCGCCACGUCUCUCACCUUGCCCCUCUCCAUGGUGCAUCGCGGGAACUAUUUCUGGAGGCCGUCGCCACCGCAUUAGUUGCCGGAUGGUCUUCCCCUGCUCCAUUGUGCUUUAGGAUAUGCAGUGUAUGCAUGUGAAGACGUGAAGAUGUUGACUCUUUUUCCUUGCUAGCUGCUUCAGGAUAUGCAGUGUAUGCGCUGCUUUCAGGAGACAAUGAGUCCGGAACAGAUGAGUGAGGAUCAUAACUGGAUGGUUUCAUAGUUGGAUUUCUACCAGUCCAACAGAUUCAUGUCAUCUGGCUAUCUUUCUGGGAAGAUGAUUCGUCUAUGUUAUCUUCAAGGACGACGCUAUGGAUGAUCACAUCGGCAAUGGCAUCACUCGAGUUUGCAACAUGACUGAGAACAUGAUGAUAACAACUAUGCAUCCGGAGGAGGAUCUCACUAGUCCGUUUGCACUUCAACUAAUGAGCGACAAUCGUAUGGUAUUUUGUUGCAGCAACUGUUAUAUGGAAUAUGAUGGAUGAGAAAUAGUAAAAUGAUGCGUAUGUAUGUGAUGCUGCUGAUCAUGAAUCUAGGUGACUUAGAAGUGUGUGUGUGUGUUUUGUUUCAUUGCCCUGUGCAAUGCGAUGGAUCAGAAUCAGAGUGGUUUCAUGUAUGCGUAGAAAUGUUUUUGCUUUUGAGCAAGUCCAUGUACAAAUUCUCGUAUGUCAAUUGCUGGAUGUUGAAACAUAGUUUAAUAUAUCGGUAUGUACGUAAACACUGAUUUUGGACGGCUUUCCUAAUAUAUGGGCUAUUGGAUGUA